AGUAUAGAUGAGGUAGGCGGAAUGUGUAGUGUAGCGGUGAAAUGCAUAGAUAUUACACAGAACCCCAAUUGCGAAGGCAGCUUACCGAACUAUUACUGACGCUGAAGCACGAAAGCGUGGGUAGCGAACAGGAUUAGAUACCCUGGUAGUCCACGCCGUAAACUAUGCUCACUCGCUGUUGGCAAUAGAUCGUCAGCGGCUAAGGGAAACCGAUAAGUGAGCCACCUGGGGAGUACGAUCGCAAGAUUGAAACUCAAAGGAAUUGACGGGGGCCCGCACAAGCGGAGGAACAUGUGGUUUAAUUCGAUGAUACGCGAGGAACCUUACCUGGGCUUAAAUGUAGAGUGCAUAAAGUGGAAACAUUUUUUUCCUUCGGGACUCUUUACAAGGUGCUGCAUGGUUGUCGUCAGCUCGUGCCGUGAGGUGUCGGGUUAAGUCCCAUAACGAGCGCAACCCCUAUCGUUAGUUACCAGCACGUAGUGGUGGGGACUCUAGCGAAACUGCCGGUGUAAACCGUGAGGAAGGUGGGGAUGACGUCAAAUCAGCACGGCCCUUAUGUCCAGGGCUACACACGUGUUACAAUGGUCGGUACAGUGGGCAGCCACAUAGCAAUAUGGAGCUAAUCUCAAAAGCCGAUCUCAGUUCGGAUUGGAGUCUGCAACCCGACUCCAUGAAGGUGGAUUCGCUAGUAAUCGCGCAUCACGCCAUGGCGCGGUGAAUACGUUCCCGGGCCUUGUACACACCGCCCGUCAAGCCAUGGAAGUUUGGGGUGCCUGAAGUUCGUAACC
rnacentral:rRNA from 1 species